rnacentral:rRNA from 1 species
UACGGAGGAUGCGAGCGUUAUCCGGAUUUAUUGGGUUCAAAGGGUGCGUAGGCGGACUAAUUAGUCAGCGGUGAAAUUUUGCGGCUCAACCGUAAAACUGCCGUUGAAACUGUUAGUCUUGAGUGCGGUAGAGGUAGGCGGAAUGUGUGGUGUAGCGGUGAAAUGCUUAGAUAUCACACAGAACACCGAUUGCGUAGGCAGCUUACUGGAGCGCAACUGACGCUGAGGCACGAAAGCGUGGGGAUCGAACAGGAUUAGAUA